rnacentral:rRNA from 1 species
UACGGGGGGGGCAAGCGUUGUUCGGAAUUACUGGGCGUAAAGGGCUCGUAGGCGGCCAACUAAGUCAGACGUGAAAUCCCUCGGCUUAACCGGGGAACUGCGUCUGAUACUGGAUGGCUGGAGGUUGGGAGAGGGAUGCGGAAUUCCAGGUGUAGCGGUGAGAUGCGUAGAUAUCUGGAGGAACACCGGUGGCGAAGGCGGCAUCCUGGACCAAUUCUGACGCUGAGGAGCGAAAGCCAGGGGAGCAAACGGG